rnacentral:rRNA from 1 species
UGGGGAAUAUUGCACAAUGGGCGCAAGCCUGAUGCAGCCAUGCCGCGUGUAUGAAGAAGGCCUUCGGGUUGUAAAGUACUUUCAGUCGGGAGGAAGGUGGUAAGGUUAAUAACCUUAUCAAUUGACGUUACCGACAGAAGAAGCACCGGCUAACUCCGUGCCAGCAGCCGCGGUAAUACGGAGGGUGCACGCGUUAAUCGGAAAUACUGGGCGUAAAGCGCACGCAGGCGGUUGAUUGAGUCAGAUGUGAAAUCCCCGGGCUUAACCCGUGGAUUGCAUCUGAUACUGGUCAGCUAGAGUCUUGUAGAGGGGGGUAAAAUUCCAUGUGUAGCGGUGAAAUGCGUAGAGAUGUGGAGGAAUACCGGUGGCGAAGGCGGCCCCCUGGACAAAGACUGACGCUCAGGUGCGAAAGCGUGGGGAGCAAACAGG